GCGGAUUUAGCUCAGUUGGGAGAGCGCCAGACUGAAGUCAACCUUAGAUAACUUGUAAUCUGGAGGUCCUGUGUUCGAUCCACAGAAUUCGCA
rnacentral:tRNA from 1 species